rnacentral:misc_RNA from 1 species
AGUAUGUAGACCAGUUUGAUAUUCGCCAUACAGAACAUGGAAACAUCAGAUCAGGGAGCUAGUGGGUGAAACAUGUUUACUGUGUCAUAAUUUGUAGGUAAUCUAAUUCCUCAGUCAAAAGCAGAUUUAAAUUUGAUAACAGUUUACAUUUAAGUAAGUUUUCCUUUCUAGUUUGUCUUGGUUAUGCUUCCGAGAUAAAAAGGGUAUAAUUCUUUUAUUGACAUCAACUUUGUCGUCCUCCUGUGUUUUAGUAAUCAAUAAAGGAAAUUUAUAAACAAAGCUACAGUAUGGUUGUACUUUUUG